CUGACAUUCUAGAUACCUAAUGCUAUUGUCUAUGUUGUAGCUCUGUAUAAAUAAAAUUCCUUCAUCAGACGUUUCCCAAUAAGCCCACUAACCCAAUAAGGUUCCCACACAGGAGGCGCUUUUGCAAAGAAUGUAAUCAGAACCUAGAACCAAGAUGUUCCUCCAAAACCUUCUUGUUUUUCCUCAAAAGGAAGGUCACCACCAAUAGGUGUGGAAACUAGGGCAUAUCCAACAACUCACCUUCGAACUGGAAUGUCUCCUUGCAUGCAAAUACCUCUUUCUACGUUAGGUGAAGGGACAGAGGGCACCAAGGGGAACCCACCUCAUCCUGGGGCUGCAGAGGGAUGUUAUCGGUCAUGUCGGCGGCGGCGCCCGCUGCAGCCGCUGGGGAGGAGACUGGGAUUCACUUCCCAGUAGCGCCACGCCUCGGCCCCGCCUGGCCUCAGUCUGACAGCGGCCACCGCUGGGGCU